GAACAGGACAGUAAUCAUUGUCACUGAUCUUCAGGGGUGAGCUUUUGGCAAGCCUAGGUUAUAAGGUGAGACCUUGUAUCAAAGAGAGAAGAAAGGAAAAAAAAAUCAGUAAUAGAAAUGUACUACCCGUCUCUUUCUAGACAUAACCACAAUAUCAUCACCCACCCACAGAAAAUUAUCUAACACCUGGUCCUUAUUUCUGUUUUCAGUAGGAACAUGGAUCUUAACUUUAAUAACCCAAAGUCCACAUACUGCACUUGGUUUAUGUCUUUUAAAUCUAUAUAAAAAAAAAAAAACUCCAUCCAAGUCCACCCACAUUUUCAACAGUUUUACUGAGGUGUAAUUUAUGUACCAUAGAAUCCACCUAUUAAAGUAUGACCCUAACUCCUCAAGAUCUGAGAUGGGAGGAUUGUGAUCUAAAAAAACCCCAGACAAAUAGGAAAGAAUCAAGAGUUCAUGUUUAAGCAGGGUCUAUAGAACAGGCUGUAAUCCAAGCUAUUCUGGGCACAGGAGACUCAUGGGUCAGAGCCUGCUUAGUCUACAGAAUGAGUUCAAGGCCAGCCUGGGCAACUUAGUGAGAACUUGUAUCAAAAUUUAAAAGUGAGCCGGCCAUGGUGGCACACGCCUUUAAUCCCAGCACUCAGGAGGCAGAGGCAGGCGGAUUUCUGAAGCCAGCCUGGACUACAAAGUGAGUUCCAGGACAGCCAAGGCUACAUAGAGAAACCAUGUCUCGAAAAGACAAAAAACCAAAAAACCAAAAAAAAAAUAAUAAUAAUAAUAAAGUGAAAUUAGAGCUGGUGAGAUGGCUUAGCAGGGAACAAGGACAUGUGAGAGACACAAACACACAAAAAUAGGCUUUAGACAAGAAUUGAGCUGCAGGCAGUGGGCAUGGCCACUGUAUCUGUAUAUUCUGUCUUUGGUCUAUAGCCUAGAAUCCCAGAGACUCUUACUGUGGUCCUGGAGUCACUGGCCUCCUGUCUGCGAGACCUUGGUAUUGUGCUCAAUGGCAUUGCUUUGUGUUUCUAGGUAUUUCUCUGAGUCCAGAGCAGGCCCCAAGUCCAGCUAGCCCUGCCCAGGAGGAACUGAAUCAAAGGCAGACACCUGAGCAGCAGCAAGAGGAAGCAACCAUGAUUCCACCUGAGCCAGGCACUGGGAUUCCAGCAAGCACCAGCCCUUUAUCACUUAAACAGGAGGAAGAAUCUGCAGAGGGAGGAGAGUUGCCACCCUCCCCUUCCACAGAUAGCCUGCUUUCUGUGGAGCCAGGUGAGUGAAAAGAGAAAACACUAGUGACUGUGCCAGAGCCUCAUCGAAGCUCAGAGGGCCUUUGGUAGUAACAGUCAGCCCGUGGUCAACUGGCCUGAAUGGAAAAUUACUGCUUGAAGACAUGCUGCAGAUAGAAGACUCUAUCUGCUAGUGAUAGAAAGGCUGUUCAUAUAUGAUCUGCUCCAGUCCUACGGUAACCCUGUGAGGUGGCCUACCGAGAUUCACAGCCUCAGGCAUCUUGCAGUUUGCAUGUUGACCUAGACUUUCAGUGUAGGUCCUUCACCUGGAUUCUGGUUUGUUUGGUUUUUUUUGUUUUUGUUUUGUUUUGUUUUUCAGUUUUUCGAGUUUUUCGAGACAGACUUUCUC
rnacentral:lncRNA from 1 species